GACAGAGGUGCCGAGCGUUAGGCGGAAUCACUGGGCUUAAAGCGUGUGUAGGCGGGCGGGCAAGUACCUUGUGAAAUCCCACGGCUCAACCGUGGAACUGCUGGGCAUACUGGCGAUCUUGGGCCAACUAGGGGCAGCCGGAACAAGCGGUGGAGCGGUGAAAUGCGUAGAUAUCGCUUGGAACGCCGAAGGUGAAAACAGGCUGCUGGGGUUGUGCCGACGCUGAGACACGAAAGCCAGGGGAGCAAACGGG
rnacentral:rRNA from 1 species